GCGGAGGAAAAGAAACCAACAGGGAUUGCCCUAGUAACGGCGAGUGAAGCGGCAACAGCUCAAAUUUGAAAUCUGGCUCUCGGGCCCGAGUUGUAAUUUGUAGAGGAUGCUUUUGAUGCGGUGCCUUCCGAGUUCCCUGGAACGGGACGCCAUAGAGGGUGAGAGCCCCGUCUGGUUGGAUGCCAAAUCUCUGUAAAGCUCCUUCGACGAGUCGAGUAGUUUGGGAAUGCUGCUCUAAAUGGGAGGUAUAUGUCUUCUAAAGCUAAAUACCGGCCAGAGACCGAUAGCGCACAAGUAGAGUGAUCGAAAGAUGAAAAGCACUUUGAAAAGAGAGUUAAAAAGUACGUGAAAUUGUUGAAAGGGAAGCGUUUAUGACCAGACUUGGGCUUGGUUAAUCAUCUGGGGUUCUCCCCAGUGCACUUUUCCAGUCCAGGCCAGCAUCAGUUUUCGCCGGGGGAUAAAGGCUUCGGGAAUGUGGCUCUCUCCGGGGAGUGUUAUAGCCCGUUGCGUAAUACCCUGGCGGGGACUGAGGUUCGCGCAUCUGCAAGGAUGCUGGCGUAAUGGUCAUCAACGACCCGUCUUG
rnacentral:rRNA from 1 species